CUAAGAAUAUUCCGCAAUGGACGGAAGUCUGACGGAGCGACGCCGCGUGGAUGACGAAGGCCGAAAGGUUGUAAAGUUCUUUUGCUGGGGAAGAAUAACCGCAGGAGGGAAUGCCUGUGGGAUGACAAGAACCGGCGAAUAAGCCCCGGCCAACUACGUGCCAGCAGCCGCGGUAACACGUAGGGGGCGAGCGUUGUUCGGAAUUACUGGGCGUAAAGGGCAUGUAGGCGGCUUGGAAAGCCUGGCGUGAAAGUCUGCAGCUUAACUGCAGGGGUGCGCUGGGAACUGCUGAGCUUGAGUGACGGAGAGGGAGCUGGAAUUCCUGGUGUAGGGGUGAAAUCUGUAGAUAUCAGGAAGAACACCGAUGGCGAAGGCAAGCUCCUGGCCGAUGACUGACGCUGAGGUGCGAAAGUGUGGGGAUCAAACAGGAUUAGAUACCCUGGUAGUCCACACAGUCAACGAUGUGCACUAGGUGCUGGGGCGGUAGCUUCGGUGCCGGAGCGAACGUGGUAAGUGCACCGCCUGGGGAGUAUGCUCGCAAGGGUGAAACUCAAAGGAAUUGACGGGGGUCAUAGCUGUUUCC
rnacentral:rRNA from 1 species